GAUGAACGCUGGCGGCGUGCCUAAUACAUGCAAGUCGAGCGAACAGACGAGGAGCUUGCUCCUUCGACGUUAGCGGCGGACGGGUGAGUAACACGUAGGUAACCUACCUAUAAGACUGGGAUAACUUCGGGAAACCGGAGCUAAUACCGGAUAAUAUUUCGAACCGCAUGGUUCGAUAGUGAAAGAUGGCUUUGCUAUCACUUAUAGAUGGACCUGCGCCGUAUUAGCUAGUUGGUAAGGUAACGGCUUACCAAGGCAACGAUACGUAGCCGAACUGAGAGGGUGAUCGGCCACACUGGAACUGAGACACGGUCCAGACUACUACGGGAGGCAGCAGUAGGGAAUCUUCCGCAAUGGGCGAAAGCCUGACGGAGCAACGCCGCGUGAGUGAUGAAGGUCUUCGGAUCGUAAAACUCUGUUAUUAGGGAAGAACAAACGUGUAAGUAACUGUGCACGUCUUGACGGUACCUAAUCAGAAAGCCACGGCUAACUACGUG
rnacentral:rRNA from 1 species